rnacentral:tRNA from 1 species
GGGGUUGUGGCUCAGCAGUAGAGCGCUCGCCUAGCACAUGCAAGUCCCUGGGUUCGAACCCCAGCACUACA